GCAAGUCGAACGAAGUAGCAAUACUUAGUGGCAGACGGGUGAGUAACAUGUGGGUAUCUACCCUUUGGCCUGGAAUAACACGAGGAAACUUGUGCUAAUACCGGAUAAGUCUUUACGGAGAAAGCUUUAUGCACCAUUGGAUGAGCCUGCACUUGAUUAGUUUGUUGGUGGGGUAAUGGCCUACCAAGACUUUGAUCAAUAACUGAUUUGAGAGGAUGAUCAGCCACAUUGGGACUGAGACACGGCCCAAACUCCUACGGGAGGCAGCAGUGGGGAAUCUUGCACAAUGGAGGAAACUCUGAUGCAGCGAUGCCGCGUGAGUGAAGAAGGCCCUUGGGUUGUAAAGCUCUUUCGUCGGGGAAGAAAAUGACUGUACCCGAAUAAGAAGGUCCGGCUAACUUCGUGCCAGCAGCCGCGGUAAUACGAAGGGACCUAGCGUAGUUCGGAAUUACUGGGCUUAAAGAGUUCGUAGGUGGUUGAAAAAGUUGGUGGUGAAAUCCCAGAGCUUAACUCUGGAACUGCCAUCAAAACUUUUCAGCUAGAGUUUGAUAGAGGAAAGCAGAAUUUCUAGUGUAGAGGUGAAAUUCGUAGAUAUUAGAAAGAAUACCAAUUGCGAAGGCAGCUUUCUGGAUCGUUACUGACACUGAGGAACGAAAGCAUGGGUAGCGAAGAGGAUUAGAUACCCUCGUAGUCCAUGCCGUAAACGAUGAGUGUUAGACGUUGGAAGUUUAUUUUCAGUGUCGCAGCGAAAGCGAUAAACACACCGCCUGGGGAGUACGACCGCAAGGUUAAAACUCAAAUGAAUUGACGGGGACCCGCACAAGUAGUGGAGCAU
rnacentral:rRNA from 1 species